CAAAAUCAACUCACAAAUAAUAGUACAGGAUUUCUGCGCUAGCAUAAAGAAAAAGUUGAAAGGAGCUAUUACCCAAUGAACGGAAUAAGGGGGAAAAGUUUACAGAGUCGACAAAGCAAUUAUAUUGUGAUAAAUUAAAAUUUCAGUGGAAAGCAUAUAAAUAUUUCUGCUCAAUGUAUGAACAGGUUGUAUUGUCAUACAUGCAUGUUGAACUGAAAGUGUAGGCAAUUUUCUAUCUCAAUAUAUGAAGUACUGCCGUGUUGCAUCGAUGUGGCUCUACAUCUGCGAAAACAAUUCUCAUUUUUUGAGAUCAAAUCUGAAAUCAAUGAUUGUUAGAUUUUACUUGAAUCAUUAUUCUCAUAAGAAUGAGUUAGAUUUUGCUCAUAGUGUAUAACCAGAUGAAGAGUGAGGUUGGCUUAUGGAUGGUAUCAAUAUCGCAAAGUUGAACUCUCCGAACUGUGGAUAAGAUAGGUUGUAAUAGGAAACUCAAUUGCAAUUCUCUUACGACUUCUUUUUAUGUAAAGAAAUUCUAAUGUUUCAUUCAAUUAUGUAAACAAGCACAAGAAUUGUGUUGCUAAUGUAACUUUAACCAAG